rnacentral:misc_RNA from 1 species
UUUGAUGCCUGUCUUGAGGCGGAAAUCUACACCGAAAGCUUAAUAUCUCCCAUUUUACAAAAUGAGCCAAUUCCACAACAACAAUGAAGGCUGCAGAAGCUCAGAUGAAUGAUAAUCCCAUGACUUAUGACAUGAAGUGAAAAAGCUAUGUAUGGAACAACCGAACAACUAAUCCACCACCUGUAACUGCAUGGAGCACAAGGAAGAAACGCGGGCUUUCCCAGUUUUUACAGUUCAUUUGUGA